UUGGUGGAAGAAGCAUAGACUUGGGUACCAGGCUCUUGAAACUGUUCAUCUGCUUUUCUGAAGUUAAACUUCUUUAUUGCAUUAAGAAAGAAAAAGCUUAGUAAUACAUGACUGGUUAUUAGGGUGCCCUUUAAUAAAAAUCCAAUAGUGAAAAGGAGGCAGAUUUAGGACAUUUUAUUGAUGCAUAAAUAUGUUUCAAUGAUCUACUUCAAAUAUACAUUUUGAUGUGGCACUGUGUCAGAAUAACUUGAAAAUAUUAUGUUAAAUAUAGAUAUGCCAGAGAACUUGGGUUGACAUUGACUAUUUAAAGCAGUGAGACUGCUUGCAUUCCAGAGUAAAAGAACAGGAUGGUUUCAGUUGGUCUACAGAGAUGGUGGUGAUUGGGGGUGAGGAUGGGAGAUGUCGGUGGUGAUGGCUGUGGUGGGUGUCGUUCAUCUUUAGUAUAAUCAAUUGAAUUGUGAAAGUUUAUUUUAUAAGAUUCCAUUUGGUUCCAAUAGUUCAGAUUAAAGCAACAACAAGGACCCUACUAACAAUAGCUGGAAAACGUAGACAGUUCUUACAGGAACCAAUCACAGGUAUUCAUGCGUUUGAUAAAUUCUAAACUAGGAGUGGAAGUACUGAGUGCUGGGGACCGACUCCAGUCGCUAAACGCGAACAUUUACCUUUGAAGCAACAGGAGGAGCCAGACUGGUCAUGGCUAGAUUCCAUGCUGGAGUGCAUAAAGGCACGUAUUUUGUGAAAACCUUCAGGCAAAAAUCGUACUGAUUAUUCAAAAAUAAAUAUUUUAACAUUUCAUUGAGUUAUACAAUGAGUAAGAAAACUAUCGAAGGCUUCCUGCAGUUCAGAAAGAAUUCUGGUAGUGUAAAAAACACAGAGAAGCAAAGAACUAGAAGAAACUGAAGGACGCCCGCUGAGUAGUUAUUCACUUGUUAAUUUUCGAAAACGUACAUUUCCGUGCCCUUAUUUUAAAAAUGGCAAAAAUAAAUAUCAUCUUUCCUUGUCUUUAAAAAAUAAAAUAACUUCAGACUCUGGCUAUGCUUGCUAAAAAAUCAUUAUUCCUUUUCCAGGCGAUGUAUGCAAGAAAGGGCCAAUCUGAAAACAUAACUUAUGAGAAAAGUCGACGUAUAAGCCGCAAAGAAACCGGUUCACAGCCGAGCCCACAGCCCUGAGAGGUUCCCCCGCUUCCGAGAGCUUAUCCAGGAUAACUUCAUUUACUGGCAGAUCGGCGGCCACUUCCGGGACUCUUUACCGAGUGGGUCCUUCCACCGCUGAGCCUUCUGCGGGGCUGUCGGGUCGCCUGUGCGUGGCGGGGAGCCAGAUCCCUCGGCGCCCGCAGCGUAGCCGGGUCCCCGCGAGCCGAGCCACCCGGAACCCUGGGCCUGCCUGCAUCCCCGGGAGCGCAGACUCCUCAGGGCGUGUGGGGAGCCCGGCAGGAUACACUGCCCGCGCUGGGGGCCCCCAGUGUGCUCACACUGGUCUGGGUACGGGGCGGCGGUGCUGGGGCCUUGUUCCCCGGGGACCCCGAACCAUCUGGAAAGAGCUACAGGAUCACUGGAGGCUUCCUGUAUCUCCUGUGAAGUUGAUGGUGAAAUAUUCACUGAUUAGGAACACUGAUCUUUCUGAGAAACAUGAAAUGGGACAUCGAGGAAGACUUUGGAAAACUUUCUUCUGUACUUUGAUUUAAUGAGCAUGGAAAUUCCCCUUCCUAUGGAAAUGAAUAGGAAUAAUCAUUCCCUCCUCACAAAUAAAUGCAGUGAAAGAAUGAUUGAAAAAUAAAGAUUGUGUGAAUUCGAGGUGUGAAUGGUAGCCCUCUUGUGCUAAAUAACUUCGGUCAUGUCCAACUCUUUGCAACCCUAUGGACCGU